rnacentral:tRNA from 1 species
GCAGGGAUGGCGGAAUUGGCAGACGCGUUAGAUUCAGGUUCUAAUGAAUGCAAAUUCAUGUGGGUUCAAGUCCCAUUCUCUGCACCA